rnacentral:rRNA from 1 species
UACGUAGGGUGCAAGCGUUGUCCGGAAUUAUUGGGCGUAAAGAGCUCGUAGGUGGCCUGUCGCGUCGGCUGUGAAAACUCGGGGCUCAACUCCGAGCUUGCAGUCGAUACGGGCAGGCUAGAGUUCGGCAGGGGAGACUGGAAUUCCUGGUGUAGCGGUGAAAUGCGCAGAUAUCAGGAGGAACACCGGUGGCGAAGGCGGAUCUCUGGGCCGUAACUGACGCUGAGGAGCGAAAGCAUGGGGAGC